rnacentral:rRNA from 1 species
UACAGAGGGGGCAAGCGUUGUUCGGAAUUACUGGGCGUAAAGGGCGCGUAGGCGGCCUUCUAAGUCGAACGUGAAAUCCCCGGGCUCAACCCGGGAACUGCGUCCGAUACUGGAAGGCUUGAAUCCGGGAGAGGGAUGCGGAAUUCCAGGUGUAGCGGUGAAAUGCGCAGAUAUCAGGAGGAACACCAAUGGCGAAGGCAGCACUCUGGGACGUGACUGACGCUGAGACGCGAAAGCGUGGGGAGCAAACAGG